UACGUAGAUGACUAGUGUUAUUCAUCUUUAAUAGGUUUAAAGGGUACCUAGACGGUAUAAUUAGUCUUUAACAGGAAACGGUUAUACUAGAGUUAUAUAUGAGGAGGUGAGUAUUUGUGGAGUAGAGUUGAAAUUCUUUGAUACCAUGAAGACUGGUAAAGGCGAAAGCAACCUUUUAUCUAAUAACUGACGUUGAGGGACGAAGGCUCGGGUCGCGAACAGG
rnacentral:rRNA from 1 species